GUUCAGGAGCAGGCUCACCUCAGCCCCAGGCGACCUCCCGCGGGGCAGGAAGAGGGAGGAGACAGGAGAACGCGGCUCAGGGACGAGCGGGGACAGCGGCUCCCUGACAGCACUCGCCGGCUCACCUCCUGCGUACCCCACUCCUGCUGCCCGGCGCCUGAUAUCAUCCCUCCGCCGCUCCCCGCCCCUUGUCGUGACGCACUCCCGUUGCUACGCCCCGAGGCGCCGCUGGCCCCGCCAUGGCGGUUCCCGACGUACCUGCUCCAUCCCCCGGCUGCUGCCUCCCCGGUUACCCGGCGCACAAAGGAGGCUGGCGCCGCCCCGGGCUGGAAGAGGCGAGGCCGCGCGUGGGCUGGCGGCGCGGGGCGACCGGCCUCGGCGGGAGCGCGGGGCCGAAGGGCGGCGAAGUCGCACGGUGUGUCACGUCAGCGGGCAUCGUGAGCGCGGAGGUGACUCCUGCUGCCCGUGCAGGGAAUGGAUGUGCUAUUAAAAAUCUAAUGGGAAGAGAAAGAAGACAUCAUGCAAUGAACAACUGCCCUCACACGUCACCUCCACCAACA
rnacentral:lncRNA from 1 species